rnacentral:rRNA from 1 species
UCCACGCCGUAAAACGAUGUCGACUUGGAGGUUGUGCCCUUGAGGCCGUGGCUUCCGGAGCUAACGCGUUAAGUCGACCGCCUGGGAGUACGGCCGCCAAGGUUAAAACUCAAAUGAAUUGACGGGGGCCCGCACAAGCGGUGGAGCAUGUGGUUUAAUUCGAUGCAACGCGAAGAACCUUACCUACUCUUGACAUCCCAGAGAACUUUCCAGAGAUGGAUUGGUGCCUUCGGGAACUCUGAGACAGGUGCUGCAUGGCUGUCGUCAGCUCGUGUUGUGAAAUGUUGGGUUAAGUCCCGCAACGAGCGCAACCCUUAUCCUUUGUUGCCAGCGGUCAGGCCGGGAACUCAAAGGAGACUGCCAGUGAUAAACUGGAGGAAGGUGGGGAUGACGUCAAGUCAUCAUGGCCCUUACGAGUAGGGCUACACACGUGCUACAAUGGCGCAUACAAAGAGAAGCGACCUCGCGAGAGCAAGCGGACCUCAUAAAGUGCGUCGUAGUCCGGAUUGGAGUCUGCAACUCGACUCCAUGAAGUCGGAAUCGCUAGUAAUCGUAGAUCAGAAUGCUACGGUGAAUACGUUCCCGGGCCUUGUACACACCGCCCGUCACACCAUGGGAGUGGGUUGCAAAAGAAGUAGGUAGCUUAACCUUCGGGAGGGCGCUUACCACUUUGGAUCAGUG